rnacentral:lncRNA from 1 species
UUAAAUCUAUUAUUAAAAUUAAUUUUACCUGUUCAUUGGUACUUUUUAAAUGUAGCUAUUGGACAAUUCAAAGUUACAUCAGUGGCUCGUGUUGUAUCUCCACUGAAUAGCACUGGCCCAGGGAGUGGAGAGUUCAUAGCAUUGAGCCCUUGUGGCAUCCAACAUGUAGAGGUCGGGAAGUCAGGGAUAUCUAGUAGAAGAGACUGAGAAUGAGAAGCCAGGGAGAAGGAGGAGAAAGAGAAGGUGAAGGAGAAGCAUCAUGAGGGAGCAGUGUCAUCGACCAAGUGAAGACCAUGUAUGAAGAGGAGACUGAUUCUCUGUGUCAAGUACCUGCUACGGGUUUGGUACAGAAUGGACUCAAAACUGAGUAUGGCACUGUGCACCAUGAAGGCCACUGUGAUCUUGAUGAGAAGUACUUUGGAGCAGUGUUGAGGGUGAGAAAGCCUGAUGGGAGGGGGCUCAAGGGAGAAGCAGGGGAGAACAAUUGUAAACAGGGCAUGUAGACAUCCCUUUGUAGGAAGUUUGCUACAAAUGGGCAGCAGGAAAAUCGGGAUGAUAGCUGGAGAGGGAGGUGGGGUAAAGAGUUUUAUUUUCAGCAUAAUAUUGAUAGGAAGCAUUUUGUACACUUUCUAUGGAUAGACAUUGUUCUAAGUACCUUGUAUAUAUUAACUCGUUUAAUCCACCAAGCACUCUAUGAGUUAGUUACUAUUUUGCUUACCAAUUUACAGAUGAAGAAAUUAAGGCACAGAGAGGUUAAGUAACUUGCCUAAGGUCACACUGCAGUUAAGGAGCAGAGCUAGGAUUUGAACCCCAGUCACAUGGCUCUGAGGUUCUGCUUUAGCCACCAUGCUAUCUGCAUCUUUAUACCUGACAAAAAUUCCAGGAGAGAAGAAAAUUGAUGAUGCAGGCUAACUGCAAGAGGAUUCCUGGAGAUUUUUGUCUUUGGGGAAGUCAAGAUAAGAUGGGGUGGAGUGGGCAAGCAGAGGACUUGUCCCCAGCCAGAAGGAGGGGCAGUGUAUGGUGCACAGUGCUACGGGCUGAUAUGCAAGUUCUCAAGAUCAGCAAGGUCCUCCACUAAAUGAAGUGCGGCAAGGAGGUGCUGGUGGUCUGCAAGGGAGAUGAUCUGUGAGCCAAGAAGGCACUGGGGCAUUGCCAGGAGCAUAGGACCCCUUGAAGCUCAAGGGCAUGAGACAGGGCAUAGACCACUUUACUCCAGCCUCUCCUUAAUGUUUAAAAUGGGAGGUCUCCAGGCCUAUCCUGUGCCCCAGGGCUAGUCCCAGACUCCCCCAUGGGCCAGCCCUGGGAGACACUCCGGGGUCACCUGGGCUCAGAGGAUGCCAGACAGGCGGGAUGGUGCAGAGGCAGGGCUGUGCAGGGCGAUGGGAGUUCAUCAGGUAGGGACCAGCCUGCAACCAGCUAAGGAUGGACGGAAGAGCCUGGCAGCUCAGUCUCCUGACAGAUUGAGGGCUGAGGGGGCUGGGCCUGCUGAAGAGGGAGAGGGCGGGAGUGGACAUCAAGAAGAAGGGCCUCCAGGGCUUUGAAGGGGCCCAUGGUGGGCCUUUGAAUCCCUCCAUCCGGGGUCAGUGCACCCGAGCGACUGGGCCCCCGUGCUCGCCAAUAAAGUGUGUGGGACGGCCUUCAAUUAUGGAAGCGUAGCCAACCAAAUCAGCUUUCAGAUAAAUUAUUUAUGCUGAGGCCUGCAAGGGAGGGAGUCCGGCUGCAUGAACAACGUGUUCAUUUUCAUAAAACCCUGCAAAGUUGCAGUGGGCUGGGGAGAGGGUGGGGGGAAGAAGAAAGAUGAUUAGAUUAGAAGAGGCCUGCUGUAAAUAACACACAAGCAGGGCGUUUUGUUUCUUUUUGGGCUGUCUUUUGUAUCAUGUUUUAUACAACAGAAAAGAGCAGAAUACAACAUCUAGGAAAUGUUAAUGAGGGUUAUUUGCUAUUUACCUAGGCUGGGGGUUUGAAGAAAGGGCUGGGCUGGAGGUGAGGGGGUUGUGUAGAAGAUUGGAUUCCAUGCAAAUGCAGACAUCAGGGAGUCUGGAAGGCUUUGGAACAGAGCUGGACUGGAGGCUUGUCAGGUCCCUGUGGAGAGGGAAAGAAAGCAACAAAUCCCAUGGGCUGGAGGGUGUUUUCCCUCCUGCUCGGGGGGCCAGCCAAUGGGCCUGGAUGGGAGGGAGGGGUCCCAGUGGGAAGGCAGGUCAGCCCCAGAGAGCAGGCAGGUUGGGUGACUGCGAGAGUCCCUCCACCCUGAAAUCUGGGGGAUGAUGACAAGCCAGGGGUGUCAUUUCUGCCUUCCACAGUUUAUCCACACCCCCUACCCAUGGGAAAAACAGGUAGGGAUGAGAAGAAUGGAGCCUGCUUCCCUGGGGAGUUAGGUGCUGUCUGGAUGACCACUACAGCCGCUUCUUCCCAAAUUGAUAGUGCUCAAGCUUUGGUGGUGCAGGUGACAGACAGGCCUUCUCUCUUAUUCUAGGUGAUGAGAUGAGAGGACAGCUGUUCUCCCCUCACUCAAGGUAGCACUCUGAGGUGUCCAGGAGGCGAUCCACAAAUCAUCCCACUGAGUGUGCUUACAGCCGGUUUCUCCCACCUCAGCCCUGCUGCGAGGAAGGACUAAGAAAAACAGCCUGCAUGGGCCGGGCUUGGAUUUCAAGUUCUCAGUCCUAGAAUCUGAUCUUGCUUCUGUGAUUUCGAGAGGUCAGGAAGCGACAGUUUGAUGGACAUUCUGAAGGCCUUGGGUUCUCAUCCCAGCUCUGUGACCUUGGGCAUUUAUGCAUGAAUUUACUGUCAUGCCAGGUGCUGGAGAUACUAAAAAGGACAAGACAGGAUCAUCACUGCAGCAUCAGUGAGCCCCCUGGGGGAGGAGAUGUGCAAAUGGCCACCCUGUGGGGUGGAGGGCGGCACUAGGCACCAGAGGAGUCAUGUGGUGGGCCUGGAAGGCCGGGCCGGACUGGUCAGGGAAGGCUUUGCGGACACCUCGGGGAGCCGACACCUAGAGGAGGUGGUGGAGGUGUGGGGGCCAGAGGAAGUCGCUCCAGGCUGAAGGCACAGCUUGUGCAGAGGAUGGUGGCAUGGAAGGGCCCAGUGUGUGUCGUUAUCCCCUCUGCUCCUGGGACCCCAGGAGCUCCUUCCUGGGCUUAUGUUCUGUGGCAUGUGAAUUGUGGGGGCUUGGAUGUGGAAUGAGGUGCUCCCCAGCCCUGAGCUGACAGGGAGUGUGGUGUGGUUGCGCAGAUGGGGUUCUGGGACGAAAGUUCCUGAGCACAAAUCCCAGCCCUGUGAAUUUCUAGCUGCCAGGCUCUGAGUGCAUCACCUCCCAGGCGGUGCCCUCAAUUUCUCCUCUGCCUGGUGGGGAUGUCGGUGGUGUCUGGUUUAUAGCAUCGAGCAAGUUAAGCUUACAGAGCACUUAGAGCCAUUUCUGGAAGGCAGUAAAUGCUCAAUAAACAUUAACUGCCCCUCCCUAUUUUAAAAAUGAAGAAAAAUGAAGGUCUGAGGGAGUCAGCAAGCUGUCUAGAGAGACAUAGCCCAGAUGCUUGCAGGUCCAGCCUUGCCCUCCCUCCCCUCCACUUCCCUCACUGUCUCUCACUUUUCCCUCCCUUCCUCUCUCCUUUCUUUCCUCCCUCCCUCUAACUCUUGCACUUCAUCCCCUCAACUCCCCCAGCCAACUUCUGAAAGGCCUCCAAAUGCCUGGGACCUGCUGCAAAGCUCUUUGAUCUGACCAGACCGCCGGCGCCUCUGGCUGCUUGGCACCCUGAGUGAACCCUCUGCCCCCCACUUUGGGGCCUGUGCUGAGGCCUAGGGCAGAGUCUGGGCCUGGUAUCUAUUCUACCACCCCUCCAACCACUCCCUGCCUGUCCUCUGCCCCCAUGCUCCAGACCGCUUCCGGAGGGAAAGCAGCACCUGGGAUCUGUCUUCAGAGACAAGCAGCUUCCAGGCCUCCCCACAGGGUAGACUGAUAUUGGCUCCCUCCCACUGAAAAUGAAUGGCUGUCACACAGCCGGGUCACCCCAGAACCCCAGCGACUGUGGGCUUCCUGCCCACCCAUGGGAGGCUCUUUGGGGCCAGUUUCUGAGCCUGGUAAACACAAGCCUCCUCUCCCUCCUCCACGGAGAGCUGAGAACAAUUGCCCACUCUGAACCUGAAAGCCGGUGGAGGCCCGCUCUAAUGAGUGUGCAGCUUUCGCUGCCCUCAGAAAUCAGGCGCUGGCUCUGGGCACUCGGCAGCCAGAUGAUUGAAAGCCCAGUAGGGCUCCCAGCCCUCCCCCACCCCCACUCUCUUUUUUGUGUGUUGUCUGCAUCACUGCCCAGACCAAUCUCUCUUCAUGCUGAAUUUUUUAAAGCCAAAUUGGAAAAAAAUUGGAAGUAGCCUGCAUGCUAUUCCCCCUGGGCUCCAAAUGGGCUCUCCAGUUAGGGGAACAAAAUACACCAUUUUAAUUUAUAAUAAUAAUAAUUAUUAUUAUCAUUAUCCAUAACAAUAACAAUACCAAUAAUCCCAUGCAUGGGUAGGCCAAUGUACAGCGCAUAAAGUGCUUUUCCAGCUGUGAUUUCAUUUGGGCCUCGCCCCCCUGUGAACCUGCUCCCGCCCCACCCCCCCCACCCCCUUUGUCUGUAAUCCGAGCAGGCCAAUUGCCUGGUGACUCUCAGCUGGGGUGGGAAGGCCAGCCUCAGGCUCCCAGGCCCUGCUUUUCCCAUGUCCUCUCGAAGGGAUCACAUUAGCAACACAUUUUUUAGCAGACAUGGCAGAGCACCUGCUCCGGGAAGGGGGCCGGACCUGUCAGGAGAAGACAGGACUUUGCAGUCACUGGCCUCCAGUGAGAUGAUAGAGAAAGGCCAGAUAAUCUCAACUCCACACUAUAAGGGCUAUGCAUGGCCUUUGGGAGACUCUGGGCUCAAAAGUUGAAGUCAGCUUGAGGAACGCCUCAAAAGCCAUUUCAUCAAAUGUGGAUCACAUUACAGACAUCACAGUUUCAACUUGUCAUUGAAUCGUAACAUACGUACAGAAAAAUACAAAAAGCAUGAGGGUACAACUCAAUUACUUUUCUCAAACAGAACACACUCAUAUAAGCAGCCCAAGACUAAGAAAUGGAAGCCCCCCUUAUUCUCCCUUCUAAUCACUCCUCCCAACCAGGGUGACCACCAUCCCAACAUGAAACAACAUAGAUUAAUGCUGCUGCUUUUUGUAUUUGUAUGACUGGAAUCAUCCACACUAUGCAAUCUUUUGUGUCUGGUUUCUUUUGUUCGAUGUUAUGAUGUGAUAUUCACUAUCAUUGGAUACUGUUGCAGAUUUUUCAUUUCACUGCUCUGUGAUAUUUCACUGUAUGAAGAUAGUGAAAUUUAGGUAUCCAUUUAUCGUGGUGAACAUUUGGAUGGUUUCAAGUUUUCAGUUAUUAUGAAUAAAGCUGUUUAUGAA